CAUCAGCUAUUCUCAGUCAAUUGAAACAACCAACGCAUGUUUUAUGUCUCUCUCUCAACUUCUUGGUUUGAUGGUCUUCUACCCAAAUUAAAAAAUUCGAAGUGGUAACCGUCAAAAUGAAUCCCAAGUCUCCAAGUCACUCCCAAUCAUCGGUGAUUAGAGGAAAGGAAGGAGUUCAGUGACAGGGUUUAUGAGGUUCUUCACAGGCCAUGCAUAGCUUCUCCAUUGGUCGUGCAAGCGCCUCCAUGGAUUAUGUAGAGGUUAGCGUAGGAGGCGCACCGUAAUUUCAAAAAGACAAUUGUGUAGCAAGAAGGAUGCAAAUACCAGGUGGAAUAAGAAGUAGACUUGGGCUGUGGGUUUUAGAGUGUUCGAUGUACUAACUUUUAUUUGUAGGUUCAGCUUAGUUGUUUUAUUAUUUAUUUGUGUUUUUGAAAAUUUUGGAUAAUUGGUAUUAGAGUAUUACGUUGGUGUAAAAGAGAGUUUACGACUGAAUCCAAAUUUUUUGGUGUAUGUUUGCCUAU